rnacentral:tRNA from 1 species
GGUUGUAGCUCAGCGGUAGAGCAUUCGCCUAGCGCAUGCGAGGCCCUGGGUUCGAUCCUUAGCACCA